rnacentral:tRNA from 1 species
GGCGGGAUAGCUCAGCCGGUUAGAGCGCAGGAUUCAUAAUCCUGAGGUCGAGAGUUCGAGUCUCUCUCCCGCUACGA